CUGUCAGGGGCUAGCAAGCAAGGGGUGUUAACAGCAUCCUGCGUUGAGCCGCCCCAGAGGAAGCCACGACUAACUCUGUGCCAGCAGUCGCGGUAAUACAGAGGUGGCAAGCGUUGUUCGGAAUCACUGGGCUUAAAGCGGGUGUAGGCGGCUGCGCAAGUGUCCUGUGAGAGCCCACGGCUCAACCGUGGAAUGGCAGGGCAAACUGCGUGGCUUGAGGCUGGUAGAGGUGCCUGGAACUCUAGGUGGAGCGGUGAAAUGCGUAGAUAUCUAGAGGAACGCCAGAGGCGCAAGCGGGGCACUGGGCCAGAUCUGACGCUGAGACCCGAAAGCGUGGGGAGCAAACAGGAUUAGAUACCCUGGUAGUCCACGCCGUAAACGAUGCACACUGGACGUCGGAGGCUCUGACGCUCCCGGCGUUGUAGCAAAAGUGCUAAGUGUGCCGCCUGGGGAGUACGGCCGCAAGGCUA
rnacentral:rRNA from 1 species